rnacentral:rRNA from 1 species
CCCCUGACGAAGACUGACGCUCAGUGCGAAAGCGUGGGAGCAAACAGAUAGAUACCUGUAGUCACGCUGUAACGAUGUCGAUUUGAAGUUGUGCCAUGAAGCGUGCUUCCGAGCUAACGCGUUAAAUCGACGCCUGGGGAGUACGGCCGCAAGGUUAAAACUCAAAUGAAUUGACGGGGGCCCGCACAAGCGGUGGAGCAUGUGGUUUAAUUCGAUGCAACGCGAAGAACCUUACCUACUCUUGACAUCCAGAGAACUUUCCAGAGAUGGAUUGGUGCCUUCGGGAACUCUGAGACAGGUGCUGCAUGGCUGUCGUCAGCUCGUGUUGUGAAAUGUUGGGUUAAGUCCCGCAACGAGCGCAACCCUUAUCCUUUGUUGCCAGCGGUUCGGCCGGGAACUCAAAGGAGACUGCCAGUGAUAAACUGGAGGAAGGUGGGGAUGACGUCAAGUCAUCAUGGCCCUUACGAGUAGGGCUACACACGUGCUACAAUGGCAUAUACAAAGAGAAGCGACCUCGCGAGAGCAAGCGGACCUCAUAAAGUAUGUCGUAGUCCGGAUUGGAGUCUGCAACUCGACUCCAUGAAGUCGGAAUCGCUAGUAAUCGUAGAUCAGAAUGCUGCGGUGAAUACACUCCCAAACCUUGUACACACCGCCAAUCGA